CCUACGGGAUGCUGCAGUGAGGAAUCUUGGUCAAUGGGCGCGAGCCUGAACCAGCCAAGUCGCGUGAGGGAUGACUGCCCUACGGGUUGUAAACCUCUUUUGCCGGGGAGCAACGGGCGCCAAGUGUGGCGCCACUGAGAGUACCCGGAGAAAAAGCAUCGGCUAACUCCGUGCCAGCAGCCGCGGUAAUACGGAGGAUGCGAGCGUUAUCCGUAUUUCUUGGGUUAAAAGGGUGCGUAGGCGUAUCGGUAAGUCAGUGGUCAAAUUGAGGGGCUCAACCCCUUCCCGCCAUUGAAACUGGCGCUCUUGAGUGGAAGAGAAGUAUGUGGAAUGCGUGGUGUAGCGGUGAAAUGCAUAGAUAUCACGCAGAACCCCGAUUGCGAAGGCAGCAUGCCGGCUUCCGACUGACGCUGAAGCACGAAAGCGUGGGGAUCGAACAGGAUUAGAUACCCUGGUAGUC
rnacentral:rRNA from 1 species